rnacentral:lncRNA from 1 species
AAUUCAAAGAAAAUGAUGACGCAUGUGGAAUCCUCAUCAAAUGCAAGCCAGGAAGCGUUCCACUGUAAAGGAGCAACUUGACAGGCUGAGCCUGGCGGUGACAGCAUACAGGAUGGGCGCAGCCCCCACAUCUGGGUCAUUUCGUGUCAUCAUGUCUGGAAUAUCAAGUUUGAGCACGUAUGCAGCAAGGAUACCCUUCAACUAAAAGUUGCAUCCUCAAAUUGGG